GGGGUUCUGAGAAGGUUUUGGGAGGUUCUGAGGGGUUCUGGGGGGGUUCUGAGAAGGUUUUGGGAGGUUCUGAGAAGGUUUUGGGGGGUUCUGAGAAGGUUUUGUGGGGAUCUGAGGAGGUUUGGGCAGAUUUUGGGACAUCCCGAGGGUGACACAGAUGAUGCAGGUGACCCUCAGGUGACCCCCAGGUGUCCCCCAGGUGCGG